GAAUAUUGGACAAUGGGGGGAACCCUGAUCCAGCCAUGCCGCGUGUGUGAAGAAGGCCUUUUGGUUGUAAAGCACUUUAAGCGAGGAGGAGGCUACUCUAGUUAAUACCUAGGGAUAGUGGACGUUACUCGCAGAAUAAGCACCGGCUCACUCUGUGACCGCCGCCGCGGAAAUACCGAGGGUGCAAGCGUUAAUCGGAUUAUAUGGGCGUAAAGCGCGCGUAGGUGGCAAAUUAAGUCAAAUGUGAAAUCCCCGAGCUUAACUUGGGAAUUGCAUUCGAUACUGGUUGGCUAGAGUAUGGUAGAGGAUGGUAGAAUUCCAGGUGUGGCGGUGAAAUGCGUAGAGAUCUGGAGGAAUACCGAUGGCGAAGGCAGCCAUCUGGCCUAAUACUGACACUGAGGUGCGAAAGCAUGGGGAGCAAACA
rnacentral:rRNA from 1 species